UAAGGAGUAUUGGUCAAUGGACGCAAGUCUGAACCAGCCAUGCCGCGUGGAGGAUUAAGGCCCUCUGGGUUGUAAACUCCUUUUAUCUGGGAAGAAAUGUACUUUUUCUUGAGUACUUGACGGUACCAGAGGAAUAAGCACCGGCUAACUCCGUGCCAGCAGCCGCGGUAAUACGGAGGGUGCAAGCGUUAUCCGGAUUCACUGGGUUUAAAGGGUGCGUAGGUGGGCAGGUAAGUCAGUGGUGAAAUCUCCGGGCUUAACCCGGAAACUGCCGUUGAUACUAUUUGUCUUGAAUAUUGUGGAGGUCAGCGGAAUAUGUCAUGUAGCGGUGAAAUGCUUAGAUAUGACAUAGAACACCAAUUGCGAAGGCAGCUUACUACACAAUCAUUGACGCUGAGGCACGAAAGCGUGGGGAUCAAACA
rnacentral:rRNA from 1 species